rnacentral:rRNA from 1 species
CAGUCGCCACGGGAAUACAGAGGGUGCGAGCGUUAAUCGGAUUUACUGGGCGUAAAGCGUGCGUAGGCGGCUUUUUAAGUCGGAUGUGAAAUCCCUGAGCUUAACUUAGGAAUUGCAUUCGAUACUGGGAAGCUAGAGUAUGGGAGAGGAUGGUAGAAUUCCAGGUGUAGCGGUGAAAUGUGUAGAGAUCUGGAGGAAUACCGAUGGCGAAGGCAGCCAUCUGGCCUAAUACUGACGCUGAGGUACGAAAGCAUGGGGAGCAAACAGGAUUAGAGACCCCAGUAGUCCCUGUCUCUUAUAC